AACGCACAUUGCGCCCGCCAGCACUCUGGCGGGCAUGCCUGUCCGAGCGUCAUCUCAACCCUCGACGGACCCCCCUUGGGGCGUCGGCGUUGGGGGACGGCGCGCCCGCCCCGACCCCGGGGCAGGCGCCGCCGCCCCCGAAAUGAAGUGGCGACCCCGCCGCGGCCCUCCCCUGCGCAGUAGCAAACGCUCGCACCGGAGCCCGGCGGGGCCCUGCCGUGAAACCCCCAACCCAGCCAAGGUUGACCUCGGAUCAGGUAGGAAUACCCGCUGAACUUAA
rnacentral:misc_RNA from 1 species